rnacentral:tRNA from 1 species
GCCGGGAUGAGGUAGUCUGGUUAGCCUACGGGCCUGUGGAGCCCGGCGCCCGGGUCCGAAUCCCGGUCCCGGCC